rnacentral:rRNA from 1 species
AUCAACUUUCGAUUGGUAGGAUAGAGGCCUACCAUGGUGGUAACGGGUAACGGGGUGUUAGGGCACGACACCGGAGAGGGAGCCUGAGAAACGGCUACCACAUCCAAGGAUGGCAGCAGGCGCGCAAAUUACCCAAUCCCGACACGGGGAGGUAGUGACAAUAAAUAACAAUGCGGGGUUCUUAAGGAUCUCGUAAUUGGAAUGAGUACAAUUUAAAUCUCUUAACGAGGAACAAUUGGAGGGCAAGUCUGGUGCCAGCAGCCGCGGUAAUUCCAGCUCCAAUAGCGUAUAUUAAAGUUGUUGCAGUUAAAAAGCUCGUAGUUGAAUUUCGGGAUCAAUUUGUCGGUCGUGCCUCGGUACGUACUGGCAUUAUUGGUUUCUACCUUCUGAAGAACCUUGAUGUCAUUAAUUUGGUGUCUUGGGGAAUCAGGACUGUUACUUUGAAAAAAUUAGAGUGUUUAAAGCAGGCAUACGCUAGAAUACAUUAGCAUGGAAUAAUGAAAUAGGACGUUUGAUUCUAUUUUGUUGGUUUCUAGGAUCGACGUAAUGAUUAAUAGGGAUAGUUGGGGGCAUUAGUAUUCAAUUGUCAGAGGUGAAAUUCUUGGAUUUAUUGAAGACUAACUACUGCGAAAGCAUUUGCCAAGGAUGUUUUCAUUAAUCAAGAACGAAAGUUAGGGGAUCGAAGACGAUCAGAUACCGUCGUAGUCUUAACCAUAAACUAUGCCGACUAGGGAUCGGAUGAUGUUAUUUUUAAUGACUCAUUCGGCGCCUUACGGGAAACCAAAGUGUUUGGGUUC